CUGAGCAUGGCUUUUCUUGAUGUUCACCCCAGUCUUUAAUUCUGCCGCCCUGCAGGUACCGAAGGAAUUUAAAUACUGAAUUCAAAGCAGCACAACGAUGUUUUCCUUUGUUGGUAGAACGACUUCAGUUCCAGGUGACAUCCUUCCAGGUGGAAGUGACUGUAAAGAUGACUAUUUCGGUCUUUGCUAAGCGCAGCUGUGAGCAGAACCUGUGUUUUAACAUGUUCCUGUAGUUCAGAUAAGAAGCAAAAGGCGUUUGUUGUUCUGCAGAGCUGUUCUGCUCAUCCCUGCUUCAGGAUCUCUGCCUCCAAACUGAUGGAUUUCUCCGGCAUUCAGGCCAGUUAUCUUCAAUGUUCAGUACUCAGUCGAACUCAGAUUCCCAAAUAUAUCCUUUUCUGUUGGGAAAGCUAAUAAUGAGAAGCGUUUUGCUAGAGGCAGCUCUGUACAACUGCUUACAGGGAGACUGAAAAAGACACACGGGACAUGGAGCCUGUGUCCCCCAAGUUCCUUGGGCUAACUCCAUUUGCUCUUGAACCCUUCAGGAAAUGGAAAUGCUGCCAGAGAGAUUUCUGUAAAUGCUUUAUGGAAGGCUGCUGACGCCCAGGUGUGACUGCAGUUAAACAUUUCCUCCGAGGACCAGAUGCAGAGCACAAAGUCAGUUUGACAGAGACUUGCUGAGUCUUAGGAUUCAUGGACAGGUCUCUGGUCACGUUGUCUUGAUGGCUGCAAGGUCUUUGUAAUUCUUGGGUUACUGAUGUACUGCAUGUGCAUCUCGUUUAAUUUCACCAACCUCCUCUCUUAAAUACUGUGACACCUCCUAAUGCACAAAGUGAGCUUUAACAAUGAUUAUUUCUUCAAUACUUGGCAGUGGGCAGGGCUAACACAGCAGGGGAACUUUGCAAAUACAGCCUGUUUGGGUAUUUCCUCAGUCCUGCUCAAAUUAUCCAGACAAACCACUCAAUGCAUGCAGCACCAGCCCUGGAGAGCCCCAACCCCAAUCCCACUUCCUUGGAGGGUGCAGUCCCAUAUCAUUAAGGAGCCAGCAUCAGGCCUGGCCACAGAGAAGGAGAGUUUUAACAGAAAUGUGGAUUUUUAAUCUAAAGGAUUUUUUUUUUGGAUUGUAUGGAUGGAUUGUUUUUGUCAAGCCGUGCUGUGCCCAGAUAAUUGGAUGUAUGCAGGGCGCCGCGACAAGCCUGGGUGACAGUGGGUUUGUCAAGGAGCUGAACAAGAAACCUGAAGGCAGAGACUGCAGAUAGAAAUCAUCAGCAUCUCCCUUUACCCCAGCAGAGCUCACGGCCCCUUUUCUUGACAUUUAAAUCUCUGAAUCCCUCUGGAAAAAUUGCGUGUUUGACCAUCUUGACAGAAAAAGAUGGGAUCAGUGACAGAGUUAUGGUGUGUGUGGAGUGAUUAAAGUAACGCACCAGGGACAUGCAGAUAGGGUCCUUAAAAGAGCCCAUUUCAUAGGGCUGAAAGCAAUUUGGGGCUAAAUCAGCUGGGAAAAGGAGUAUUUGGCAGGAUAAAGGGAGUAAUUGGCAAAGGUGACAAGGAAUCCAAAAUUCCUUGCUCAAGAAGGGUAGCUGCUGCUGGAAGGAAGCUCUGCCUUGCUCAGACAACUAGAAAUUUGUGUUCCUUCAACAUCAAGAAAGAACUGUGUUUUUUUUUUUAACAUUGCUGUAGAACUACUUUUUUUUUAUUUUUUAUUUUUUUAUCAUCUUCCUGCAUAUUACAGGGCAUUCGCUUUCAUCGCUUGCUCUUCAACAUAAGGUAAACACUAUGCUGAUCCACUUAAAAUAUAAAUAAGUGCUGCAUGCACUCCGUGGGGUGUGGAACAGAUGUUUGAAAGCACAGCUGCGAGACGCUCUUAUUUUUAGUCACUCUCAGCUUUUUAGAGGCUAAUAUCUCUCCCCGGUUAUAUUACAGCACUGUCUUCCAGCCCCAGAAGCUCCUCUUCAGCUGCUGCCCUGGAGCAGGAGGGAGCCCGGUCCCUUUCCUGGCUUUGGCUCACUCGAGGAGCUGAUGGCUGGUGGGCAGCAGGAAGACUGGUCGCUGGCACAGGUGAUAAAGCAGUUAAUGAAAUGGGGUCUGCAGGGAUGCAUCAGCUCUUCCUUGGUCAAGGGGAAGCAAAGGCAGCAGAGCUGUCAGGGAUCAGGCUUGCAGGAGCUCAACUCUUACAAAUAAUAUUGUAUUCGUGGCCUUCUAUGCCAUAUAUCAAAUACUUGCAGUUGCUUGGGGCUUGUUUCCCGGUGAGUGUAAAAGGAGGACAGAUUUCAGCCCUCUCGGAGAGCCCUUGUCUGUGAUUGAAAGCCCGCGGACAAGACGGCGUUUCUAACAGACGUCUUCAUAAUACUUAACAUUCAGUGGAGUAAAAGGAGAAUAAUGAGCACUGCAGCUAUCCCAGUAAAUAAGAAUACCCGGUUAAUUGUUCCCUUAUCAGUUUACUAGGUUUGAGAUGUUGAAGCUAAAGCAAACCUUGAAUCAAUCAGAGGAUCCUUAUGGGCACAUGGAGUCCUUGGCUGAAGUCAAUGGAGAUGUCUGGGCUGUUGGCAGAAGGCAUUUUCAUGCAAUGAACCAUAUGGAAGUCAAUGCAAAAGGUGUUGAUGUGCAGCAUGGAUGCUGAUUGAUAAAGCUGGCAGAUGGGGAGAUCAUCGGCUUUGAAGACUGUGAAGUUUCCUCUGGAACUAAAUAAAUAAGGUGGGCAGAACUAGAUGGCAAUGCAGCCUGGCUGCUUCCCUGCAUCAUCAGCAAUUUCUCAGGUCAGUGGGCCUCCUGCAAGCAUCUCAGCUCACCAUUUUCCAUUUCAUAGACCCACAGAAUGGUUUGUGGUGGAAAGGACCUCAUAGCCCAUCCAGUCCAACCCCUGCCAUGGGCAGGAUCUCCUCCCACCAGCCCAGGCUGCCCCCAGCCCCGAGCAGCCUGGCCUUGGGCACUGCCAGGGAUGGGGCAGCCACAGCUCCUCUGGGCAGCCUGGGUCAGGGCCUCACCGCCCUCUGAGGGAAGAAUUUCCUGCUAACACCUAAUCUUAAUCUCCCCUUUUAAUUUUAAACUGUUCCCCCUUGUUUUAUCACCAUCUUACCAUGUAAAAGGUCUCUCUCCACUUCCAUUUGCUUGUUUUUCCAUUUCCCCCAUCUCCUCUUUCUUGUGCUUCCUAUGCAGUUUCCAUCUUCUAUUUUGUGAUUUCUUUGCAUGUCUCCAUUGUGCUUCCAUUUUUUUCAAGAACGUAGAUAGUCUGUGACUAUUUGGGACUUUUCCCAACGGAGACAGAGACUUGGUGGUGUGAUGUGGUCCAUGAUCUGAAUUCCUGCGUGUAAUUCUGCACGUGUUCAUUUGGGAAAAGGAUUGAAGAGCACAUGUUAGCGAGCAGGUUUGAGUGCUGUCCAGCACAGGGCUAUUGGAAAUAUUCUUUCUCCUCUGAAACUUGUCGGUUGUUAUUUCUGUAAAACUUCCCCUCGAAGCAGUAAUUCCUAGCAACACCUGGAAGCUUUCUCCAUGUGGCUGCACCAGAAUCGAAAGCCACGGCACAAACAGAGAAGGCAACACUGGUGUGACCCUUCCCUGACUAGCAAAAUCGCUGAGCAUAUCAUGUCCCUGAGGCACGUUGGAGCUCUUUUACUUUAAACUAUAACCAUGAAAUAGGAAAAAAGCCCAAUGAAGCAAAAGCUCCUGCCCUUUUAUUUUUGCUCUUAGCAUGUAAAAAUGGAAGCACCUGCUGCCUGCUGAGCUCGUUAAGGCUUUUUAUUUUCAUAAAUCACCGCGGUAGAAUCUGAAUUAUUUACUCGGUAAACUUGAGGCUACAUUAAUUUCCCUUAGCCAAUUUCUCAUAACCGCUUUCUGUGCAUUAGCUCUGGAGCUGUUUCCCACCCACCUUUUGUUCGGUGCCCACCCCGAGCAGGGUCCCACCCCCCGGUGACUGCGGGGCUGUUGUGAACUUCAAAAGCAGCCCGAAAUGCCAGCCGCACGCAGCCCUUCUGCAGCCGCUAAAUUAUGCAGCAGAAUACAGCAGAUCAAACAUUUCAGAAUUAUUCACUUGUGGGUCUUUGGUUGGUAAAGUAAUAAAAAAAGUCAGCGUUUCUUCUCUGCUAAUAUGUGGGGUGGUUGUUUUACAUGCUCGAGAGUAACGUUAUCAGGGGUGUGGGGGUGCGUAUGUAAUUUUUUAAGCGAAGCACUUCAAUCAAAGCUUCAUUCUCCUGUAAACCCAAUUAGCUUCAGUCUGCCAAGUCAGCUUGACUGUCUGCAGGAAUGUGUGUAAGGCUAUGAAUAAUUGCUAAACACGGGUUUCUUUCCAUCUAAGAAAUGCCACGAGGCUUUUGUUACCACUAGAUAAACCCUCUGCGCUUGUCUGUGAGGUUCCAGCCGAAGACAUCCGUUCAGAAAAGGUAAAUGUGUUUGAAUAGCAUUCUGUGUCUGAAGAGGCUCAAUGAAAAGCGUGUGCUUUCUUUGCUUUGGAGCAGAAGGUGGCUGAACCCAGGUCCUGGCCUCCUCAAAACCGUCAGGGGUUUUGCCAUUAGCUUUAGCGGGAGCAGGACUGAGAAUUCAUGCGGCUUUGUGGCACGUUGCUGCAGAAUGAGCCCAUUACUGGAGGAAAACACCAGCAGGGCUGUCCCCUGCGUCACACGAGAGGAAAGGUUAGAAAAUCAACCGCUCCAAAAAUACGUGCGGAAAAUGGGUCACCUACUUUGUGCAAGGAAGCGUGCAGGAUGCGCUCCCUGCGUUGCAAUGCGCCGUGCUCUGGUUUCCAGCACUUUGGCCGUGGUUUCAGGGCCAGGAUGAUGCCAGGUGAGGUUACCAGGGCGUGCUGGCGCAUGGGGUGCUGGCUCCUCCGUGGCCCUGCCUGGCAGAUCAUAUAGGGGUGACAUUGGGGUGCCCAGGUGACUCGGCUGCACGACCCCCCCAGGUCCCCGUGGAGCAGUGGGGGCAGAGGCAGCCGUGGGCAUUUCCUGCUGUGAGUUGCUUCAAGCAAAUAUUUCCUUGUCUUUCUACCGUGCAGGUAUAACGUCCCUUUUCUUCCCUCUCUGUCUAUAAGCCAUCCGAAAAGUUGUCAGGGGGUGGUGAAUUCCCCAUCUAACUCCAGCCGAGAAACUGGACCAUGAUUUCUGUUUAGCAUCCCUUGAGGAUGGGCAUAUUCCAAUGGCAUCUUGAAGGCUGUACAAGUGUUUUCUUUCAAAGUGUUUUUGUUUUGUUUUGUUUUAAAUAUUCCUUUAAGUCCCAGGCUCAGGAAGCAGUGUUAUACUUUGUGUGAUGGCUACUGGUUAUGAGCUGUGCGAUGAAGUUUUGACGCUUCAAGGAAAAGGUUAGAUGUUUGGCAAGAUUUGAAACUGUUUGGAUUUUUAUUACUUGAGUGUUAAAUGGUGUGUAUUUACACUGACACACACAUACAGGCAGCGUUUUUUUCCAGAUAUGGGAUUAUAUAAAGCAGCACGACAUUAUUCCAUUUGUCUUUUGUAACAUCUGCCAGAGUAAUGUGUUUGCACUAAGACUGAAACAUUUAGCUAUGAAAAUAUUUGCCAUGCUACGGGGGAAGAUACAAUUUUGACUAAUUUUAUUACAGCAGGUACGUGAGUGAACGCCUGGCCUGACAGCUAUGAACUAAGUUGCACAAAGCAGGAGUGACAGUGUGCUUCCCAGCAGCAGGAGUCGGUGCCGUGCUGGUUUGUCACAGCUCCAGCUUCCCUUUCCUCCAGGAGUGACGCUGGUGCCUGUUAUCCUCUGUACACAGUCAUCUGUCAACAAGGACUUUCUCAAUUACUUCAGUGUGUGUGGGGGUGGCACGGAGGAGCAGAUGAUACCUGAUAAUAGUACAUCUUCAACAGGGGAAGGUUUCACUCUCUUUAAAUAGAAACUAUGUCGGAAUAGUUGCGAGCCUCCCAGACACUGUGAAAUCUAAAGGGGAAUUUAAACCUUCUUUCUGUGGGAUUACUGAGAAAACACAUGUGCGUCUUGUUUCUUUGGGUAUUGACGGGCUGAGGACUGCUGCUGUGUGUGGGCAUGAACCCAGACAUACAGGGGGCCCAAGAGGACUGGGUGGUCCUCUAAUGACUCUUCCAGGCAGUGUAAAGCACGCAGAGUGUGCAGGAAUUGGGGACAGCCUCUAAGAAAAUAUGGGAGGAGUUCGGGUUGAUGGAGGACUUGUCCCAGGCAGUACUUACUCAGUAGCUGUUUGUUGCUGUUAGUGAAUUAAUGCAGGUUAGAGAUGAGCAAUAAUUCAGUGCCGUGACUCAGCUGCGUCCUGUCAGUGCCUGGUGACACCACCUGGCACCAGUGUUUGCCGUGUCAGUCCCUAUAGCCUCAUUUUCUUGCCGGGUAGACCCCAUCCCUUCUGUUUUGCCCAGAAGCCCUUCAGAGCACACGCUGUUCCUGUUGGUCCUCGGUCAUGGGGACGUCCAAGUAGGGGGGGUUAUCUGGAAAGAAAUACUACAUGUAUUAAACUUGGUCAUUGAGAAGCAUCUUGAGAAAUGUCAUUUCUCAAAUGUCUACGUCUUGAGAAAUGCCAUUUGUUACAUGGGGGUUUGGGGUUUGUUGCUUGCUGUGGAUGCUGGCUGCUUUAACUUGAUGAGGAGGAGUGUCAGCCUGCCCUGGUGGCCUGGAAAGGGCGACAGAAAUUCUUAAUGUACUAGGUAGGGGGGAAUGCAGGAAAAUGGUCAUGCUUCUUCUUCCCGAUUUCAUUAGUAGCCAUUUUGGUACGUUCAUUACGCAAGGACAUUAUCACAAAUCCUAUUUUGUCCUGGGUGAUUAUGCCGUUGAGUAAAAUGUCAAUGAUAGUGCGUAAAACAGCUGGGAAAUUAGGGAUAAUUUCAGUAGCUAUUAAUGAACUACAGACUCCCUUCAUAGACAGAGUUUUCAGAGAAAGGAAAAAUCAAGAGAUUUUGUCUUUUUCAGUCAUUGUACUUCCAGCACUGGGGUUUGGAGCCAGGGGCAGGGCUGCAGGGCAGCACGGCCGGUGGUGGUCCUGCUGCUCAGAGCCCAGGGCAGCGCCCCAUCUGCUCGGGGCCUCUGCCUGUUCCCUGCUUUCACCUCGCUGUGUAGGGUGCUGGCCCAAUGCUCAGCUUCUGCUCUUCUUUUGCUGGUGAAAAGCUACUGGGAGCCUAGCCCGAGCUGGGCUUUGUGAUACCUGCACCGAGAGAAGAUGGGAGUCAGUGGGAUGCACGUCUUGGCAGAAAUUAGCAUGCUUA